rnacentral:sRNA from 1 species
AUGGCUAGGUCCAGCACCAAAAAGUAUAAGUACUCCAAAAGACAUCAAACCCCAACCUCCAGAAAGAAAGCAAAGAAAGCAUAUUCCAGCAUUGAUUUUGGCCACGGAAAUUACUCAUUCUUUGUAAACAAGGUCCUAAAGGAAGUGGUGCCCUGUAGAGGCAUAUCGUCUCGCACUUUAGACCUCAUGAAUGCUCUGAUUAACUUCUUAUUUCAACACAUUGUCAUAAAAGCUUACAGGCUGAUGUAUUCUAGAAAUCGCUGUACUCUCCCCCUGAAGAUAUCCUGAAGGCAGUGUAUUUGCUGUUGCCUCAGAAAACAGCUAACUAUGCAGCGGCUUUUGGAAGUGACGUGGUCCACAGAUAUGUCCACUCCUAA